UCCUCGUGAGGGCUUUCAACACAGGAACUCCUCCUUUCCCCUGGCAGGGGUGGAAAUAAGAUCUAAUCUGGACCUGGAUAAUGGUAGCAUACUUUUCCGGACACUAGGUCCAAGGUGGCAGACCCAGGACACAAAGAGGGGGAAUCAGGGUCUGUCUCCCACGCUGAUAUACAAAGCCUAAGAGAAGGUACUUCUCUAUGCGGCUACUAAAUUAUGAUUAGGUAAGCCUGCUGCUGCUGGCAGCCAUCUUCCCCAGAGGCACAGAGGAUGUUGUCAAGUCCAGAAGAGAAAGAGGCCAGCACACCAAGAGACCAAGACACCUGAGCCUCUGGAUCUGGCAGUGCCUAAGGAGAUACUAGGCCUGUCUGAGAUGGUUAAGGUACGAGAAAGAGAAAAUUGAGGGGCCCCAGCUAACCGCCAGCACCAACCAUCAAGCACGUGAGUGAGGCCAUCUGUGUCCUUCAGAUCCAGCCCAUCCCACAGCUGGCUGCAGCAACACAGGAGAGCCGGGGGAGCCAGCAGAGGAACCAAGCACCAGCCCACAGGAUGUAAGAAAUGUUUUGAUGAACAUCCUUGAACAUACUUCUUUGCGUACCUCAAGGAUAAUUUCCUCAAGAUUAUAUGCUGCAUAGUGGAGUUCCUGCAUCAAACAUUUGCCUGUUUUCAAGGUUCUGAGAACAGAGUUUGGUGUCUUCUGUUGCUGUUUUGGUGGGAAUGAAGCUGUUGCCUGGAAAUGAGAUAGGAAAGCCCUGUGAUUUCUUCACAAUCCUCUGCUACACUUGUUUGCAGACACAACGUAGGUUGAAGGGAACCACAAAAGACCCCGAAUAGCCAAAGCAAUCCUGAAAAAAGAAAAACAAAACUGGAGA